AUAAUUAGUGAUAAAAGCUGGAUUAAAAGGAGGGGCUUAGGCACACAGCACAGCGGUCUUCCUAAUAGUUCAUCCCUGAGUUAGACAGUCCUACCCAUCCCGGCUGCAGCGGAGCUGUGAGCCCCCACCCGCCUGGCGAGAGAACCUUUCAUGUGGCAGAGAAGAGAUGCGAACGCACGGGCGCUGCCGCCCUGUGGCAAGGGCUAUUUCCCACCAAGGAAGAGGAGUUGGUGGUGCUGGGGGUGAUGCUGGCGGUGCUUUUGCGUCAUCUCGCGGGACUAACUCACACAGCAUGAGAUGAGCUCCAGCCGCUGGGCUGACUCACCAUCCUCCCCGGGGAUCUGCACCCCCAGACCUGCUGCCCCGCGGGUAGGAUUCAGAGGUGCUCCUGAAUAAUUCUACUCAGACCAUUGGGAUAGCUCAUGAAUAGCUAAAACAAGAAAUAUGACAUCUGCGUAUGUCAAGGGUCUAGAACAGGGAUGGACGAACUGUUUUGGUAAAAGAUCAGAUACGAAAUCUUUUCUGCGUUGUGGGCCAUGUGGUUUCUGGCUCAAUAGCUCAGUUCGGCCCCUGUAUCGGGAAAGCAGCCCCAGACAAAAUGUAAACACAUGCACGUGGCUGUGUUUCAAUAAAACUUUAUUUACA